GUUUUGUAAAUCAGUGUAUCACUUGCUUUACAGGAGCAAUGGGGUAUCCCAGAAGGAACGUUUCCAUUGAAGUGGUACGUGUGAACCCGCAGAGCUCAAUCAAGCUGAGGCAGACGAAUCCAAAAUGGAGAAGACAUCUGCCAGCUGCACAUUGAUACAGCAGACUGGCAUCUGUCAGCAAGGGAAUUAGAAGCAUGAUGUGAACUCAACACAGUGAUAAAGAAGUGGACCAGAAGAGAAGCCACUGAAUGACUUUUGAUUGCUGUUUCAACCUAGAGGCUGGAAUAGAAGUUGAAGGGUUGUUAUUUUAAACAGGUAUAGCGAAGACUCAGAAUAUGCAUUUGCCAUCUUUUCCCCGUGUGGAUGUGGCACCUUUCCCACCUUCAGCUCUACUACAGGAUGCAACCAAGGAAACUUACUGAGCUGGUUUCAUUAGAACCAUCAACGUAUCUUCCAUGAAUUGAAGCUUUCCUUCCUCUGAACAGGGGAUCUGUUCUGCGAUGAAGAAUUACAAGUUAAAGUGGUGUAAAACAAGGCAAAUGGCCCAAACCAGCCAACGUGGUUUGAAGAAGUCCGACUAUUACCGAUAGUUCAGAGCAGCCGCCACCGUGCACGGUGCGAAACGCUG